rnacentral:rRNA from 1 species
GAUGAACGCUGGCGGCGUGCCUAAUACAUGCAAGUAGAACGCUGAAGGAAGGAGCUUGCUCUUUCCGGAUGAGUUGCGAACGGGUGAGUAACGCGUAGGUAACCUGCCUGGUAGCGGGGGAUAACUAUUGGAAACGAUAGCUAAUACCGCAUAACAGUAGAUGUUGCAUGACAACUAUUUGAAAGGGGCAAUUGCUCCACUACCAGAUGGACCUGCGUUGUAUUAGCUAGUUGGUGGGGUAACGGCUCACCAAGGCGACGAUACAUAGCCGACCUGAGAGGGUGAUCGGCCACACUGGGACUGAGACACGGCCCAGACUCCUACGGGAGGCAGCAGUAGGGAAUCUUCGGCAAUGGACGGAAGUCUGACCGAGCAACGCCGCGUGAGUGAAGAAGGUUUUCGGAUCGUAAAGCUCUGUUGUAAGAGAAGAACGAGUGUGAGAGUGGAAAGUUCACACUGUGACGGUAUCUUACCAGAAAGGGACGGCUAACUACGUG